CCUACGGGUUGCAGCAGUAGGGAAUCUUCCGCAAUGGACGAAAGUCUGACGGAGCAACGCCGCGUGAGUGAUGAAGGCUUUCGGGUCGUAAAACUCUGUUGUUAGGGAAGAACAAGUGCUAGUUGAAUAAGCUGGCACCUUGACGGUACCUAACCAGAAAGCCACGGCUAACUACGUGCCAGCAGCCGCGGUAAUACGUAGGUGGCAAGCGUUAUCCGGAAUUAUUGGGCGUAAAGCGCGCGCAGGUGGUUUCUUAAGUCUGAUGUGAAAGCCCACGGCUCAACCGUGGAGGGUCAUUGGAAACUGGGAGACUUGAGUGCAGAAGAGGAAAGUGGAAUUCCAUGUGUAGCGGUGAAAUGCGUAGAGAUAUGGAGGAACACCAGUGGCGAAGGCGACUUUCUGGUCCGUAACUGACACUGAGGCGCGAAAGCGUGGGGAGCAAACAGGAUUAGAUACCCCAGUAGUC
rnacentral:rRNA from 1 species